ensembl:snoRNA
UUGCAUUGUUACUGAACCCUUUUGGUCUCUUUUGUGACAUCAAGGGUCAAGGUACAAUGCUAAAGCAUAAGCAGGCCUGCUCAUAACUGGGGCCUCCUGGUUUAUGUCCCAGGUCGCUCUUUUAAAAGCAAGCCACAGCU